rnacentral:rRNA from 1 species
AUGAACACAGUCUUCGGCCGUUAUGUCCGUAAGUUCAUCAUCAUUUUCCUGGAUGACAUCUUGGUUUUCAGUUUUGACCUGCAAGAACACGAACAACACCUGCGCCUCACCUUGGACCUCCUUCGUGAGCACCAGCUGUUUGCCAAGGCCAGCAAGUGUUCAUUCGCGCAAACCAGUAUUGAGUACCUCGGG